UCACAAACCGUGAGAUCAUGACCUGUGCCGAAGUCGGACGCUCAACCAGUGGAGCCACCAGGGCCCCUAACCUGAGCCUCUUAUGGUGGUUCUGCAGUGGUAAUGGGUCAUGAGAAACAGUGAGUCUGUGUAAGUGUGUACAUAAUGUGUGGCUGUGUAGAGGUCACUCUCUUGUCUAUAGAAGUGGAGUGGCACACUCUUGCCAGGGCUCACCGGUCUACUCAUUAAUGCCAACCCUUCAUAGCUGUGUAAGUGGGGAGCUAGAAACAUGAAAAUCUUAAUUAACCUAACCCCAACCUGCAUUUUUACUGAAUUCCAAUCCCACGCCUCAUCCUACAAGGGUGAUGGCAUUCAUCUGCCAGGAAAUGACCAACAGGUAAGUCCAGACUCACCAUUGACAGUUGUGCAAGUUGUGCACUGCAUAACUCUGAGCAGCACCAUUCACAUGUAUUCAUUAUAGGUUUUAUAGUUAUUAUGACAAAUAUCAAGUAAGUGGCAGAACAGCAUCUUGAGAAAGUGGAGCCUUUUUCUAAUUUGCACAAAGUCUCCAUAUCUGCUAGAAGUGGGGCUGUUAAUAAGUCCCAAGGAGGAGUAAGGAGAGAAGGUGAGAAGGAAUGGCAAGGGGAUCAUGUGAAAACAUGAAUCCUGGAGCUUCAGAGAGUGGACUGGGCAUUCCUCUUUGUGGUAGGAUUUACUGCAGACUUCAUCCUGCUUGAAGGAGCCUUGCUUUUGUAAAGCUGUGGCUGUUCCUGCCCAUAAAACCCCUCUGCAGGAGGAAGAUAGCAGCCAGGCGUGAGUCUUCCUUUAUAUCUGAGGCCACCAAUCAGGAGCAGGCCCAACAGAGCCAGAUGAAAGCCUUAAAUAUUCACAAACCAAGAUGGCAGAGGCAACUACCUCCUGAGUGCUUUGGAGGGGCCAGGGGAAGGGCAAAGCAGAGACAGACAGGGAAGGCCAAAGAGAAAGAUGGCUUAGACUGGCACAGGGGGGCUGCAGUUAGUGCAGGACACUGAGAGCAGAGAUGUCAGCACAAAAGGUUGGGCCCGCAAGGCCUGGGGUCCAUGGACCAUCCUAGUAUGUGGUAUCCCAGGAACUUGGACACCCUCCCUUCCUGUCCUGAGACACAGGCAGAGGAACGUCUUUUGCUUUGCUUUACUCUCUCUCAUUAUUUGUCCUCCUGUAAAAUGACUAAUUCAUUGGCAUUCUGUCCCCAGAAAAGUCAUCUUCCCCAGCACCUGGAAGAGGUGGGCUAGCAGAGAGGUGCCGUAAUAGUGGGAGGGCUCAAUGCCACUGUGCCCAGUUGGGCCACCCUGAACUUAAUUUGCAUUCUUUGCUCGGGAAACUGCUUACGAGGCUUCCCACCAGAGAGGAUUAUUGAGGGAAAACAUAGCAAUAAAAAGGCUUAGGAGAUUAACAAGAUGAAAACAUUAGCAAAAAAAAUCAGUUCAAAGAGGUUUUCUGUAACUAUAGAAGAAUAGGCUAAAAAACGAAGCCUUUCCAAUGAAAACCUCCCUUUAAUAAAGCGCAUUUGGCACUCUUGCUACUAAUGAUGAUAACGUUAGCACUUAGCAGUUUGAUAAGGGCUUCCAGCAUGCCAAUUAUCUGAGAUAUAUCAAGCCCUGGGGGAGAAGGUCAGUUCUCCUUGCUGACUCUCAAAGGCAGCAGGAGUUCUUCACCCGCCAGCUCCUGUUGGGUGGCGGGGAGCUUGGGCUGCCUGCAGUGGGCUGAGCUUGGCCUGAAUUCUCACGGUCUGGGAGGCUUCCCUUUUUGAAAAAUUGAGUUGUAAUUUGCAUAUCACAAAUUUCACCCUUUUAAAGCGUACAAUUCAGAGGUUUUUCAUAUAUUCACAGAGCUGUGCAGCCAUCACCACUAUCUAAUUCCAGAACAUUUUCAUCAGCCCAAAAUGAAAUUC